GGCAGUGUGGUGUCGUGGCUUGAAUGUUGGACUAUAACUCUGGAGAUCAGGGUUCAAUUCCCUGUUCGACCA